CCUCGUCGUCGUGCAGGAGCACUCCGGGUCCGGCCCGGAAGGUCUCGAGCGGUCCGGGCUCCAGGCCCGUGACGGGGGC
rnacentral:tRNA from 1 species